CGCCGCCGGCAGAUUCGACACAGAAACCCGGAAGGACCCGGGAUCCUUCAGCCCCGAGGGGGCUGGUCCACUUGGGGCGUCGGGAGAGCCGGGAGGACUCGGUAGCCCCCGGCGAACAUCUGUGCACCGGGAUGCGUCAGGCCACCCCAAGAGGGUGGACACCCGAGGACGCAGUCCGUCCGAGACAUGCAGAAGGCAAGUCCCGCGUGUACACCGGCAUUGACACUCGCGCUGACCCGCGGGAAAACACACGCUGCGUCUCAUCUCUCGCCCCCCUGGGCUUUCCAGGGUCGUCAAACAUCAAGUCACGUAGGGACUUAGAUUCAGUGCUGCCCGAGCUCAGAGGAGAAAGCAGGCUAGAGAGGUAAUGAGGUUGGCAAAGUUAUAUGCAAAACUACUCUACAGAACAGAUAAUUUUUGACAGAGUGGAUGAAAUUAUUUCAAGAAA